rnacentral:rRNA from 1 species
GUAACCUGCCUUUCAGAGGGGGAUAACGUUCUGAAAAGAACGCUAAUACCGCAUAAGAUUGUAGUUUCGCAUGGGACAGCAAUCAAAGGAGCAAUCCGCUGAAAGAUGGACUCGCGUCCGAUUAGAUAGUUGGCGGGGUAACGGCCCACCAAGUCGACGAUCGGUAGCCGGACUGAGAGGUUGAUCGGCCACAUUGGGACUGAGACACGGCCCAGACUCCUACGGGAGGCAGCAGUGAGGGAUAUUGGGCAACGGGGGAAACCCUGACCCAGCAACGCCGCGUGAGGGAUGACGGUUUUCGGAUUGUAAACCUCUGUCCUCUGUGAAGAUAGUGACGGUAGCAGAGGAGGAAGCUCCGGCUAACUACGUGCCAGCAGCCGCGGUAAUACGUAGGGAGCAAGCGUUGUCCGGAUUUACUGGGUGUAAAGGGUGCGUAGGCGGAUUGGCAAGUCAGAAGUGAAAUCCAUGGGCUUAACCCAUGAACUGCUUUUGAAACUGUUAGUCUUGAGUGAAGUAGAGGUAGGCGGAAUUCCCGGUGUAGCGGUGAAAUGCGUAGAGAUCGGGAGGAACACCAGUGGCGAAGGCGGCCUACUGGGCUUUAACUGACGCUGAGGCACGAAAGUGUGGGUAGCAAACAGGAUUAGAUACCCUGGUAGUCCACACUGUAAACGAUGAUUACUAGGUGUGGGGGGUCUAACCCCUCCGUGCCGGAGUUAACACAAUAAGUAAUCCACCUGGGGAGUACGACCGCAAGGUUGAAACUCAAAGGAAUUGACGGGGG